GAGUUUGAUUCUGGCUCAGAACGCAACGCUGGCGGCAUGCCUAACACAUGCAAGUCGAACGAGACCUUCGGGUCUAGUGGCGCACGGGUGCGUAACGCGUGGGAAUCUGCCCUUAGGUUCGGGAUAACUCAGGGAAACUUGAGCUAAUACCGGAUGAUGACUUCGGUCCAAAGAUUUAUCGCCUAAGGAUGAGCCCGCGUAGGAUUAGCUUGUUGGUGAGGUAAAGGCUCACCAAGGCGACGAUCCUUAGCUGGUCUGAGAGGAUGAUCAGCCACACUGGGACUGAGACACGGCCCAGACUCCUACGGGAGGCAGCAGUGGGGAAUAUUGGACAAUGGGCGAAAGCCUGAUCCAGCAAUGCCGCGUGAGUGAUGAAGGCCUUAGGGUUGUAAAGCUCUUUUACCCGGGAUGAUAAUGACAGUACCGGGAGAAUAAGCCCCGGCUAACUCCGUGCCAGCAGCCGCGGUAAUACGGAGGGGGCUAGCGUUGUUCGGAAUUACUGGGCGUAAAGCGCGCGUAGGCGGCUUUGUAAGUUAGAGGUGAAAGCCCGGGGCUCAACCCCGGAAUUGCCUUUAAGACUGCAUCGCUAGAAUCGUGGAGAGGUAAGUGGAAUUCCGAGUGUAGAGGU
rnacentral:rRNA from 1 species